AAAGGAAUUGACGGGGACCCGCACAAGCGGUGGAUGAUGUGGUUUAAUUCGAUGCAACGCGAAAACCUUACCCACCUUUGACAUGGCAGGAACUUACCAGAGAUGGUUUGGUGCUCGAAAGAGAACCUGCACACAGGUGCUGCAUGGCUGUCGUCAGCUCGUGUCGUGAGAUGUUGGGUUAAGUCCCGCAACGAGCGCAACCCUUGCCAUUAGUUGCUACAUUCAGUUGAGCACUCUAAUGGGACUGCCGGUGACAAACCGGAGGAAGGUGGGGAUGACGUCAAGUCCUCAUGGCCCUUAUAGGUGGGGCUACACACGUCAUACAAUGGCUGGUACAGAGGGUUGCCAACCCGCGAGGGGGAGCUAAUCCCAUAAAACCAGUCGUAGUCCGGAUCGCAGUCUGCAACUCGACUGCGUGAAGUCGGAAUCGCUAGUAAUCGCGGAUCAGAAUGUCACGGUGAAUACGUUCCCGGGUCUUGUACACACCGCCCGUCAC
rnacentral:rRNA from 1 species